UACAGAGGUGGCAAGCGUUGUUCGGAAUUACUGGGCGUAAAGGGCGCGUAGGCGGUCAGGUCAGUCCCGUGUGAAAUCCCUCGGCUCAACUGAGGAACUGCACGGGAAACUGCCUGGCUUGAGUUCGGGAGAGGGAAGCGGAAUUCCGGGUGUAGCGGUGAAAUGCGUAGAUAUCGGAAGGAACAUCAGUGGCGAAAGCGGCUUCCUGGUCCAGCACCGACGUUCAGGCACGAAAGCGUGGGGAGCAAACAGG
rnacentral:rRNA from 1 species